GCCGUUCUUAGCGACCUAAAGUCCCUAGAUAUAUAAAGUACCGCAAUUACCGCCAUUUUGGCGCCAAAACUAGCGGCAAAUUUAAAAAGGAGGCCAACAUUUCGCUGUUUCGGCUUUUUAAGCAGCUGGUCGGUCCGGCGCCAAUAUGGCCGACCAACAUUGACAGGCAAGCCGUAAAAUAAAAUAUUUAUUAAUUGUAAUAGAAUUACGUUUAUUAUCUACAGUUUACCUUCAUUUUAACGCCUAUAUAUGUUAAGAGGUUAUAAACGAAUGGUUUCCGUACAAGUGUUUUUCAUUUGUAUUAGCAUUUAUUUUAUGUUACCUUUUAGCGCAAAGUACGCCAACAGAAUACUUAAUUCAGUCGAAACAAUUGGAAAAACUUUGUUUGUUGAUGAGAACGGGAUACCUAUACCAUAAGUAAACUUUCCCUAUUAUACCAGUUAUGCUGUAGUUAGUUUUGACAAAUAAGCAUGAUUUAACGAAAGUCUUUGGAACUAUGAAUAAGCUACAAACUUAAAUUUGAAGGCCGGCUUUUAUACGAGAAAAUUUUGAACCAUGGUUGAAACAAAUAAAUGUAAUAAUUAAAUUGAUAUGAUACAUACCUGCUAUUUUUGAAAUAUAUUAAUAUAUUGAUAGAAAGAUUGUUUCAGUUAGUAUGACUUCAGGUAGUUUCAGCAUUUUAGGUAUGUAAUUGUGCACUUAUUUUAUAAAUAACUUAGAAAGAAGCUUGAAACACAU